GCUUUUUUAGUAUAAUUAGUAUAUUUGCCUUCCAAGCAAAAGGUUUAAAAGAAUUUUAAAAAAAGUA
rnacentral:tRNA from 1 species